UGCAAAGUCUGCCUUCUGUAGAUGAAGCAAGGCUCAUGGUAGACCAGCUGCAAAGUGUUUUAGCAGGGGGAGGAUUCGAACUCAGGCAAUGGGCCAGCAAUACACCCUCAACCAUUAGUCAUCUACCAGUGGCAUCCAGAUCUGACAGUGCUGAGCAAUGGAUUGCAAAGGGUAAUGCCAUCAACCAUGAAUCAGUGCUUGGACUUCAGUGGAACUGUGAAACUGAUACCUUGUCCUAUAAGCUCCGUGCUGUAGAGUGCCGAGAGGUUACCAUGCGCAACAUCUAUAAAGUGCUUGCUAGCCAAUAUGAUCCUCUCGGCUACAUCAUCCCAUAUACCACACGUGCAAAGGUAAUAGUACAGCGAUUAUGGGAAAAGAAGAGGGACUGGGAUGAUCCUAAACUACCUGAGAAUUUAGUCAAUGAGUGGAACAGGUGGGCAGGAGAGCUCAGUGAUCUACAAAAGAUAGUCUUACCCAGAUGCUAUUGCAGUGCACCAAAGGAUGAUGUUUCAAGCCAGCGUGAGAUCCAUAUCUUUUGUGACGCAUCCGAGAGUGCCUAUGGGUCUGUCGCCUAUCUUCGAACAGAAGAUCAAAAGGGAGAAGUGGAGAUCACCUUCAUAGUGGCCAGAUCAAGAGUGGCUCCUAAGAAACGUCUGUCAAUACCUCGUUUAGAACUAUGUGCAGCCCUGACAGGGGCCCAGUUAGCAAAGAUCCUGCAGAACGAAUUGACUUUGCCCAUUCAUCAAGUUUUUAUUUGGUCUGAUUCCACCACAGUUUUGACCUGGAUUAAAUCUGAAUCCUGCCGAUUCAAGGUUUUCGUUGGUACACGAAUAACAGAGAUUCAGGACCUUACCAGCUGCUGUGAAUGGCGCUAUGUGCAGUCAGAAAGUAACCCUGCUGAUGACAUCACUCGAGGUAAAAGGCUGGCAGAACUAGGGCCACAAAGUCGUUGGAAUACGGGACCAACAUACCUUCAACUCAAAUCUGAUCAGUGGCCGGUUCCACCGCCAUCCUGUUCCAUAGCUGGUGAUGAAUUGAGAAACUCUACAUUCUGUGGUCUGACUAAUACUGUACUUCGUUUGUCUAUCCCUGAUCCAAGCCAAUUUCUGACCUUCCAAGAUUUAUUGACUUCAACAGUAGAAUCUCUUGGGGAACAUGGGAUCAAUGUAUCAGCUGAGGACUUUCGACAGGCUGAAAUGGCUAUCCUUCAGCAAGCUCAAGGGGAAAGCUUUCCUUCUGAGAUGGCACAGCUUACGGCAGGGAAA
ensembl:lncRNA